rnacentral:rRNA from 1 species
CCUACGGGUGGCUGCAGUGGGGAAUAUUGGUCAAUGGACGGAAGUCCGAACCAGCGAUGCCGCGUGCAGGAAGAAGGCUCUAUGAGUGGAAAACUGCGGUUGUACAAGGGAAAACCUGGAUACGUGUAUUCAGCUGAAAGUACUGUACGAAUAAGGAUCGGCUAACUCCGUGCCAGCGGCCGCGGUAAGCCGGAGGAUCCAGGCGUUAGCCGGAUUUAUUGGGUGUAAAGGGUGCGUAGGCGGAUUGAUAAGUUAGAGGUGAAAUGUCCGAGCUUAACUCGGGAACUGCCUCUAAUACUGUUGAUCUAGAGAGUAGAUGCGGUAGGCGGAAUGUAUGGUGUAGCGGUGAAAUGCUUAGAGAUCAUACAGAACACCGAUUGCGAAGGCAGCUUACCAAUCUAUAUCUGACGUUGAGGCACGAAAGCGUGGGGAGCAAACAGGAUUAGAUACCCCUGUAGUC